rnacentral:tRNA from 1 species
AGCUUUAUAGUCAAUAUAUGAUAUUAGAUUGCAAUUCUGAAGUAGUAAGUUUUACUAAAGCUU